rnacentral:rRNA from 1 species
AAUAGAUACCCAGGUAGUCCAUGCCGUAAACGAUGUCUACUAGCCGUUGGGGCCUUUGAGGGCUUUAAGUGGCGCAGCUAACGCGAUAAGUAGACCGCCUGGGGAGUACGGUCGCAAGACUAAAACUCAAAUGAAUUGACGGGGGCCCGCACAAGCGGUGGAGCAUGUGGUUUAAUUCGAUGCAACGCGAAGAACCUUACCUGGUCUUGACAUAGUAAGAACUUUCCAGAGAUGGAUUGGUGCCUUCGGGAACUUACAUACAGGUGCUGCAUGGCUGUCGUCAGCUCGUGUCGUGAGAUGUUGGGUUAAGUCCCGCAACGAGCGCAACCCUUUUCCUUAUUUGCCAGCGGGUUAAGCCGGGAACUUUAAGGAUACUGCCAGUGACAAACUGGAGGAAGGCGGGGACGACGUCAAGGUCAUCAUGGCCCUUACGACCAGGGCUACACACGUGCUACAAUGGUCGGUACAAAGGGUUGCUACCUAGCGAUAGGAUGCUAAUCUCAAAAAGCCGAUCGUAGUCCGGAUUGGAGU